UACGUAGGGGGCAAGCGUUGUCCGGAAUCAUUGGGCGUAAAGAGCUCGUAGGCGGUUCGAUAAGUCGGGUGUGAAACCUCCAGGCUCAACCUGGAGACGCCACCCGAUACUGUCGUGACUAGAGUCCAGUAGGGGAGCGUGGAAUUCCUGGUGUAGCGGUGAAAUGCGCAGAUAUCAGGAGGAACACCAGCGGCGAAGGCGGCGCUCUGGGCUGGAACUGACGCUGAGGAGCGAAAGCGUGGGGAGCGAACAGG
rnacentral:rRNA from 1 species